rfam:Glycine soja cultivar W05 scaffold3432_18, whole genome shotgun sequence.
UUUUUAUUAGAUGAUGACUAUCACUUGUCAUAUUCUGAUGGGAUAUCAACUUCAUGAAAGAUAAAAUGAAUUAUUGUUUUCAUUGACCAAUCAAAACAUGACACGCAUGUGACAGUUAUCAUCA